rnacentral:rRNA from 1 species
CCUACGGGUGGCAGCAGUGAGGAAUAUUGGUCAAUGGACGAGAGCCUGAACCAGCCAAGCAGCGUGAAGGAUGACGGCCCUAUGGGUUGUAAACCUCUUUUAUAUGGGAAAAAAUCGUACCACGUGUCGGAUUUUGUAUGUACCAUAUGAAUACAGAUCGGCUAACUCCGUGCCAGCAGCCGCGGUACUACGGAGGAUCCGAGCGUUAUCCGGAUUUGUUUGGUUUACAGGGGGCGUAGGGGGGUUGUUAAGUCAGUGGGGAAAGUUUGGGGCUCAACCCUGACAUUGCAGUUGAUACUGGCAGUCUAGAGUACGAUAGAGGUAGGCGGAAUUCGUGGUGUAGCGGUGAAAUGCGUAGAUA